GACGAACGCUGGCGGCGUGCUUAACACAUGCAAGUCGAACGGAAAGGCCCUGCUUUUGUGGGGUGCUCGAGUGGCGAACGGGUGAGUAACACGUGAGUAACCUGCCCUUGACUUUGGGAUAACUUCAGGAAACUGGGGCUAAUACCGGAUAGGAGCUCCUGCUGCAUGGUGGGGGUUGGAAAGUUUCGGCGGUUGGGGAUGGACUCGCGGCUUAUCAGCUUGUUGGUGGGGUAGUGGCUUACCAAGGCUUUGACGGGUAGCCGGCCUGAGAGGGUGACCGGCCACAUUGGGACUGAGAUACGGCCCAGACUCCUACUGGAGGCAGCAGUGGGGAAUAUUGCACAAUGGGCGGAAGCCUGAUGCAGCAACGCCGCGUGCGGGAUGACGGCCUUCGGGUUGUAAACCGCUUUCGCCUGUGACGAAGCGUGAGUGACGGUAAUGGGUAAAGAAGCACCGGCUAACUACGUG
rnacentral:rRNA from 1 species